rnacentral:lncRNA from 1 species
CGAUACCCGAGGUCCCGCCCCAGUCCCCUGGCCAUUGGCUGGCUGCAUGUAGGGCCUCGGGGCACUGGGGCAAGUUCCUCCUGGCUUUGCCUGGCUCAGAGUCCGCUGUGCGGCGGCGGGUGCGAUCAUUUGGAUCUGGGGCGUGGUGCUUGGUGAGCACCAGCCUGACGGGAUACUGAGCCUGGAGGCAUCUUCUAGGGUGGUGACGCCAGACGUGUCAGUACAACUUCGCUCGCUGGACUGGGCUGAUCCUGCCUCCCUGGCGGCCAGCCCUUUCUGAGGGUGUCUUUUUAGGAACCAGGUCUUCUUAUUUCAGACUAAGAAAACUGGAGAGGACAGGGAUGUUUGGUGGAACAGGAAAUGAAGGACUUCACUGUUUCAUGGCAAGGAUGCCACCUUCAGUAUCCGGGGUAGAAUGGGUGCCUGGAGAAAUGUGAAAACCCCGUACACGGCUCUGGCAUUUCUGUGUGUAGAACAGUAAUGGUUUCAACAGAGGACAGCACUGCUGUGCUCCAGCGAGAGCUUCUUUCUCGGCCUUUGGGAACAGUCCCUCCAGGAAUCAUCCUGAAGGGCGGCAACAGGUGAAAGUGUCUUGAGGGCUUCCUGCUAGUUCGUGGACCACUACGACCCUGAUCUGAGCCCUGGGUGCUUCCCAGACAGUCCUCCCCCAGUGCACAGUGAUGCAACCAGCGCAAAUGGAAGGAAGUACUAAGCUGAGUCGUAUUGGAGCCUGAGGCAAAAGAAAAAAUCAAC